rnacentral:rRNA from 1 species
UGAGGAAUAUUGGUCAAUGGGCGCUAGCCUGAACCAGCCAAGUAGCGUGAAGGAUGACUGCCCUAUGGGUUGUAAACUUCUUUUAUAUGGGAAUAAAGUGCAGUAUGUAUACUGCUUUGCAUGUACCUUAUGAAUAAGGAUCGGCUAACUCCGUGCCAGCAGCGCGGUAAUCGA